rnacentral:sRNA from 1 species
AAAUCGGGUAGCUGCAUUUAAAGUCGUUUUUUUUUUUUAAUUUAAUUUAAAAUAUUGAUUUUAGUCUUUAGAAUGGAAGCAGUCCUUAUUUUCUGUAAAAUCUCCACUAAACAGUUAAAUAAAAAAUCCAUAUUUUCCUUGUAAUCUUUUCAUUGUUUUUAUUUUUUUGUUAUUUGAGAAAAUAGAAAAAUUGUUUUUUAUCCAUAUAUUUUAUGCUAUUUCUUUUUUCAAGAAGUCUGAAUGAAUAGAAUAUGUAACGCUAUGUUUAAUCAAGUGCAUAAGAAAGAGGGUAUGAUUAACCAUAUUUGUUUGGAGAUGUUAUUUUGGGGCAUUAUUAAUUUAUAAUUAAUCCUGCUGUGUAUGGGAUUGUAUUCAAAUGUCACCAUCAGGCCACCUUGAAAUGUGUUUGCCCUCUCUGGACUCAGUGUUUAACCUUUAAAUUUAUAGAUAAUGAAAUGUUUUUUAAGCUGCAUGAAAAACUGAUGAUAAAAAUGAUACUCAGAAUGUAAAUAAGAUACCAUAGUUAAUUACUUUUUUGUUUAUCUAACAGGAGAGGGCAAACAAGUGGUCUCAGAUUUUCUACAAAUUGAUUAUGUUAUUUGAUUAGAUUUUAUUAUUAUUGCACAAGAUUGUUAUGCAGUUAUGCAAUCUGUAAUCUGACAAUAAUUUUGAACCUGUUAUGAAUGUACUGUGUGUAAAAGAUGUUGCAGCAUGCACAGAAUUGAAAAUAAUUUCCCUAGAACUUUGUUUAUUGAAUAUUAAAGGAACUUGUUAAU